rnacentral:lncRNA from 1 species
AAGUUCUUACUGUAGAAAGAAUGGUGAAUGCUAAUUCCAAGCAAUCCUGUUAAUGCACAAAUCGUUAUUCAAGGUGACCAGACAAUGGCAAAAAUCGCUUGCAAAAGGAAAGCUUUCUCGGCCCCAUAUUUGCAGGCUAUCAUUGCAUGUAUGGAUUCUGCCACCAUUUCUGUAAUAGGAAAGCAUAGUUACCACUCUGAUGGGACUUCAAAGUUCAAAGCAGCCAGUGUGUGCAUUCAGGCAUAAAUUGUAAAUUGAAAUGGUUCGCUGAAAUAACCAUGGAAACAGUCCACUAUGCCACUUAUUAAAAUUUGGAGUGGCGAUCAAGUGGUGAAAAAGGUGGCUCAUGCUACCACUUUAGCAGAGGUGCUUGUUCAGGCAAAAGAAAAAGGAGUCUGCAGUUCUCCAAAUGCAAAGGUUUUCUUGAGAGACUGGACUCAGUUAGAUGAAGACAUCUUCAAGGACGUAUUGGAAGAACUUCCACUUGAAGAGAGAGUAUUCAUUGUGGCGGAAGUAAUUCCACCAAUUCCAGUUGACCAGGCUGUUCCAGGUGCUUUAUUUUUAAUCAGUUACCCGAAUUGAUUUUUAACUACACCAUCUGUGUUUUUUUAACUCGU